UACGUAGGGUGCGAGCGUUAAUCGGAAUACUGGGCGUAAGACGUGCGCAGGCGGUUUGUAAGCCAGAUGUGAAAUCCCCGGGCUUAACCUGGGAAUGGCAUUUGGGACUGCAAGGCUUGAGUGCGGCAGAGGAGACUGGAAUUCCUGGUGUAGCAGUGAAAUGCGUAGAUAUCAGGAGGAACACCGAUGGCGAAGGCAGGUCUCGUGGGCUGACACUGACGCUCAUGCAC
rnacentral:rRNA from 1 species